UACGGAGGAGGCAAGCGUUAUCCGGAAUUAUUGGGCGUAAAGCGUCCGUAGGUGGCUCUUCAAGUCUGCUGUCAAAGAGUGGGGCUUAACCCUGCAAAGGCAGUGGAAACUGAAAGGCUAGAGAGCCGUAGGGGUAGAGGGAAUUCCCGGUGUAGCGGUGAAAUGCGUAGAUAUCGGAAGGAACAUCAGUGGCGAAAGCGGCUUCCUGGACCAGCACCGACGUUCAGGCACGAAAGCGUGGGGAGCAAACAGG
rnacentral:rRNA from 1 species